rnacentral:misc_RNA from 1 species
AAAGUCGUAACAAGGUCUCCGUAGGUGAACCUGCGGAGGGAUCAUUAAUGGAAAAAAACUUAUAUAUAGUGUUGUGAUAAAACACACACACACAAUAUACAAACAAACGAUCACUACAAACUUUUUUAAUGGGGGGAAGAAAAAAGUGUUUGCCUGAUAUCUAUACACAUUGAUUUGGAGAAAAUAACUAUACAACUUUCAACAACGGAUCUCUUGGCUCUC